rnacentral:rRNA from 1 species
UUGGAUGUUGGGUCUUAAGAGGUCAGUAAUGAAGCUAACGCGUGAAGUUGACCCCCUGGGAGUAGGGCCGCAAGGUUGAAACUCAAAGGAAUUGACGGGGGCCCGCACAAGCCGGUGGAUGAGUGGUUAAUUCGAUGCAACGCGAAAAACCUUACCCCCCUUUGACAUGGCAGGAACUUACCAGGGAUGGUUAGGUGCUGGAAAGAGAACCUGCCCACCGCCACUGCAUGGCUGUCGACAAAUCGUGUCGUGAGAUGUAGGGUGCGUCCCGCACCGAGCGCAGCCCUUGCCAUUAGUUGCUACAUUCAGUUGAGCACUUUAAUGGGACUGCCGGUGACAAACCGGAGGAAGGUGGGGAUGAAGUCAAGUCCUCAUGGCCCUUAUAGGUGGGGCUACACACGUCAUACAAUGGCUGGUACAAAAGGUUGCCAACCCGCGAGGGCGACCUAACCCCAUAAAGCCAGUCGUAGUCCGGAUCGCAGUCUGCAACUGGAAUGCGUGAAGUCGGAAUCGCUAGUAUAAAGGAUCAGAAUGUCACGGUGAAUACGUUCCCGGGUCCUCCCCCCUCCCCCGUCACCCCAUGGGUCACGUCUCCCCGCCCCGCCCUUCUCCCCCU